UACAUGGGGUGCAAACGUUGCUCGGAAUUAUUGGGCGUAAAGCGCGCGUAGGCGGUUACUCAAGUCGGAUGUGAAAGCCCUCGGCUUAACUGAGGAAGUGCACCCGAAACUGAGUAGCUAGAGUACCAAAGAGGGUCGCGGAAUUCCCGGUGUAGAGGUGAAAUUCGUAGAUAUCGGGAGGAACACCGGUGGCGAAGGCAGGUCACUGGGCCGCAACUGACGCUGAGGAGCGAAAGCAUGGGGAGCGAACAGG
rnacentral:rRNA from 1 species